rnacentral:rRNA from 1 species
CCCUUAGAUGUCCUGGGCCGCACGCGCGCUACACUGACAUGUUCAACAAGCCUCCUAGUUCGACAGGAUUUGGGAAAUCUUUGAACGCAUGUCGUGAUAGGGAUAGAUCAUUGCAAUUAUUGAUCUUGAACGAGGAAUUCCUAGUAAACGCGAGUCAUCAGCUCGCAUUGAUUACGUCCCUGCCCUUUGUACACACCGCCCGUCGCUACUACCGAUUGAAUGGCUUAGUGAGCCUUUGGGACUAGCCGCUUGUACCGGCAACGGGAACGAGUGGCCGGGAACUUAGGCAAACUUGGUCAUUUAGAGGAAGUAAAAGUCGUAACA